rnacentral:rRNA from 1 species
UACCCGCAGCACAAGUGGUGGUCGUUAUUAUUGGGCCUAAAGCGUCCGUAGCUGGCUUGUUAGAUGCCUGGGGAAAUCGAUGCGCUCAACGUAUCGAACUCCGGGUAGACCGGCAAGCUUGGGACCGGGAGAGGCGUGAGCUACUCGAGGGGUAGGGGUAAAAUCCUGUAAUCCUUCGGGGAGGACCAGUGGCGAAGGCGUCACGCUAGAACGGCUCCGACAGUGAGGGACGAAGCCCUGGGGCGCAAACCGG